rnacentral:rRNA from 1 species
UGAAUACGAGACGCUAAGGCGUUGAAGUAGUGUAUGUCAUACUUCCAAGAAAAGCUUGCACUGUCAUAGAUAAAAAACGCCUGUACCAUAACCGACACAGGUGGGUAGGUAGAGUAUACUAAGGGGCGCGAGAUAACUCUCUCUAAGGAACUCGGCAAAAUAACUCCGUAACUUCGGGAGAAGGAGUGCCUUAUUUAUAAGGCUGCAAUAACAAGAUCCAAGCAACUGUUUAUCAAAAACACAGGUCUCCGCUAAGUCGUAAGACGAUGUAUGGGGGCUGACGCCUGCCCAGUGCCAGAAGUUAAAGAAGUUGGUUAGCAAUAGCGAAGCUGAUAACUGAAGCCCUGGUGAACGGCGGCCGUAACGAUAACGGUCCUAAGGUAGCGAAAUUCCUUGUCGGGUAAGUUCCGACCCGCACGAAAGGCGUAAUGAUUUGGAUACUGUCUCGGAGAGGGGCUCGGUGAGAUAGACUUGUCUGUGAAGAUGCGGACUACCUGCACCAGGACAGAAAGACCCUAUGAAGCUUUACUGUAACUUGAAAUUGAAAUUGGACUUUAUUCGCGCAGUAUAGGUGGGAGGCGUUGAUUGUAAUCUUGCGGGAUUAUUGGAGCCAUCAGUGAGAUACCACCCUUGUAAUGUUAGAUUUCUAACUUUGAAUCAUUAUCUGGUCAAAGAACAGUUUCAGGCGGGCAGUUUGACUGGGGCGGUCGCCUCCUAAACGGUAACGGAGGCGUACAAAGGUUUCCUCUGAACGGUUAGAAAUCGUAUCUAGAGUGUAAAGGCAUAAGGAAGCUUGACUGUGAGACCUACAAGUCGAGCAGGGACGAAAGUCGGUCUUAGUGAUCUGACGGUACUGAGUGGAAAGGCCGUCACUCAACGGAUAAAAGUUACCCUAGGAUAACAGGCUGAUCUCCCCCAAGAGUUCACAUCGACGGGGAGGUUUGGCACCUCGAUGUCGGCUCAUCGCAUCCUGGGGCGGUAGUACGUCCCAAGGGUUGGGCUGUUCGCCCAUGAAAGCGGUACGCGAGCUGGGUUCAGAACGUCGUGAGACAGUUCGGUCCAUAUCCGGUGUAGGCGUUAGAAUAUUGAGAGGAGCCUUCUUUAGUACGAGAGGACCGAGGAGGACAUACCUCUGGUGUACCAGUUAUCGUGCCAACGGUAAACGCUGGGUAGCUAUGUAUGGAGUGGAUAACCGCUGAAAGCAUCUAAGUGGGAAGCCCACCUCAAGAUAAGUAUUCUCA